GGAGGGGUGCAAACGUUGUUCGGAAUUAUUGGGCGUAAAGAGCAUGUAGGCGGUUUGUCAAGUCUGAUGUGAAAGCCCUGGGCUCAACCAGGAAGUGCAUUGGAAACUGGCAAACUUGAGUACGGGAGAGGAAAGUGGAAUUUCGAGUGUAGGGGUGAAAUCCGUAGAUAUUCGAAGGAACACCAGUGGCGAAGGCGGCUUUCUGGACCGAUACUGACGCUGAGAUGCGAAAGCGUGGGGAGCAAACAGGAUUAGAUACCCUGGUAGUCCACGCCGUAAACGAUGGGUACUAGGUGUUGCGGGUAUUGACCCCUGCAGUGCCAAAGCUAACGCAUUAAGUACCCCGCCUGGGGAGUACGGCCGCAAGGCUA
rnacentral:rRNA from 1 species